GAUGAACGCUGGCGGCGUGCCUAAUACAUGCAAGUCGAGCGAACAGAUGAGGAGCUUGCUCCUCUGACGUUAGCGGCGGACGGGUGAGUAACACGUGGAUAACCUACCUAUAAGACUGGGAUAACUUCGGGAAACCGGAGCUAAUACCGGAUAAUAUAUUGAACCGCAUGGUUCAAUAGUGAAAGACGGUUUUGCUGUCACUUAUAGAUGGAUCCGCGCCGCAUUAUCUAGUUGGUAAGGUAACGGCUUACCAAGGCAACGAUGCGUAGCCGACCUGAGAGGGUGAUCGGCCACACUGGAACUGAGACACGGUCCAGACUCCUACGGGAGGCAGCAGUAGGGAAUCUUCCGCAAUGGGCGAAAGCCUGACGGAGCAACGCCGCGUGAGUGAUGAAGGUCUUCGGAUCGUAAAACUCUGUUAUUAGGGAAGAACAAAUGUGUAAGUAACUAUGCACGUCUUGACGGUACCUAAUCAGAAAGCCACGGCUAACUACGUG
rnacentral:rRNA from 1 species